ACCGUUGAAACCGGCGCGGCACGGGUCUAUAUGUGAUCUGUCUCGGCAACGGGACUAUGGGCAUAAACGCGCAUGGAAUAAGCGGAUCGGACCCGGGGGCGGUACCCGGCGGCUCCACCAGACAUCCCUUCGUUGGGGGACCAUGGGGCCGAAACAGGAUCGACGAACGUGUAAAGAUGUGGCUUUGUCCCGGUGAGAUACCACCGUUAUCGGUUCAUCAAGCAUAAUUGCCAACGACAAUCGUGCUCCGGUCGCUCUGGCUGCGUAAGCAGUCCGAAAGAUCGAUUCUUAAGCCCUUGUGCCUAGCAGCGUAAGGCGGGGUUCGCAGGCACCUGGCAACAGAAGCCUGCACU
rnacentral:tmRNA from 1 species